rnacentral:rRNA from 1 species
CCUACGGGAGUCAGCAGUGGGGAAUAUUGGGCAAUGGGCGCAAGCCUGACCCAGCAACGCCGCGUGAAGGAAGACGGCCCUCGGGUUGUAAACUUCUUUUGUCAGGGACGAAACACAUGACGGUACCUGACGAAUAAGCCCCGGCUAACUACGUGCCAGCAGCCGCGGUAAUACGUAGGGGGCAAGCGUUAUCCGGAUUUCCUGGGUGUAAAGGGCGUGUAGGCGGGAGAGCAAGUCAGAUGUGAAAUUCCAGGGCUCAAACCUUGAACUGCAUUUGAAACUGUUUUUCUUGAGUGAGGGAGAGGCAGGCGGAAUUCCGUGUGUAGCGGUGAAAUGCGUAGAUAUACGGAGGAACACCAGUUGCGAAGGCGGCCUGCUGGACAUUAACUGACGCUGAGGCGCGAAAGCGUGGGGAACAAACAGGAUUAGAUACCCGGGUAGUC